GCCUUAACUUAUUGUUUCACCCUAACCUUUGUUCUAAUAGAAAUCAUUGUAAAUGUCCUGAAUUUUUCUUAAAUCAAUUUGGUUAAAGUACCCUAGAACUAUUGACCAUAUCCAGUGCAAUUUAGGGGACAAACAGGCCACACAACUUAGGUAGGGACAGACAGAGAUGUCCAUGUUAAUGCCUAACCUUUACUUACUGAAAGCGACAGCAUUACUGUAG
rnacentral:misc_RNA from 1 species